AUACGUAGGGGGCGAGCGUUGUCCGGAAUGAUUGGGCGUAAAGGGCGCGUAGGCGGCGCGGUAAGUCUGGAGUGAAAGUCCUGCGUUCAAGGUGGGAAUUGCUUUGGAUACUGCCGCGCUUGAGUGCAGGAGAGGUUAUCGGAAUUCCCGGUGUAGCGGUGAAAUGCGUAGAGAUCGGGAGGAACACCAGUGGCGAAGGGGGGUAACUGGACUGCAACUGACGCUGAGGCGCGAAAGUGUGGGGAGCAAACAGGAUUAGAUACCCUGGUAGUCCACACUGUAAACGAUGAAUGCUAGGUGUAAGAGGUAUCGACCCCUUUUGUGCCGGAGUCAACACAAUAAGCAUUCCGCCUGGGGAGUACGGCCGCAAGGUUGAAACUCAAAUGAAUUGACGGGG
rnacentral:rRNA from 1 species